CCUACGGGAGGCAGCAGUGGGGAAUCUUGGACAAUGGGCGCAAGCCUGAUCCAGCCAUGCCGCGUGAGUGAAGAAGGCCUUAGGGUUGUAAGGCUCUUUUACCAGGGACGAUAAUGACGGUACCUGGAGAAUAAGCCCCGGCAAACUUCGUGCCAGCAGCCGCGGUAAU
rnacentral:rRNA from 1 species